AUUAGUUGCUGGGAAUUUUAGAAGUAUUCUCUCUUUCAUCUCUACAAACACUCUCUACAAAUACUUCUUCUCUAAAACCUCUUUUCUUAUACAUAUAUAUAUUUAUAUAUACAAGGUUUUAGUUAUAUAAGCUUAGUUCAACCAACCAAGCUCUCUCCCAACCCAACUAGCUCAACCACUACUACUUUAGGCCUCCCGUAGGGCUGCCCAAGUUCCGCCACUAAGCCAAAAUCCGGCCGAACCUCCGGCGAAUUUUUCCGGCGAACUUUCCGAUCGUUUUUGUAAGUGGUUAUUAUUUUAGCUUCGAUCCGAGUCUUAACCGACCAUUAUAUAUACAAGAGCUCGUUAUUAUUCUCGAUCUAUUCAUCUUAAAGCUCUUCAUCUUAAAUCUCUUAGAAAGGAGAUUUAUUAUUUCGAAUUAAUUUCAAACACGAACUAAUAAGUCGUGUUAUUCGAAAUAUAAAUAUAUAUACGAACUAGAGAUUCGUUGUAUAUUCACACGAACUAAGUUUCGUUAUAUUUGAGUUAUAUUACAUAAGAACAAAGAUUAUAUCAUUCGGAAUAUUCAAACUCAAAUAUAUAUAGAUAUAUAUAAACACAAACGCACUUUAAUUUAUAUUCUUGUUUUAUUGUGUUUAUAGACUUUCUCUCUCUUCGUUUUAAAUUUGCUUCAUCUAGUCCAAAAGACUACAUCAAGAGAAGAGUUGUCUCAAGAAAAGUUAAUAGCUAAAGAGCUAACCAUAUAGCUUUCUUGAUUUUAUUACUUCGAUAUUAGACAUACAAACGAAGUAAUAAAUAAUACUUGUCAAAAAGGACGAGUAACCAAGUCGUAAGCCUUUGAGCCAUAGACGACAAUUUAAACUCCGAAGAUCUUUAAAAGCAUUAUCUAACGGGGAGUUUAAAUUAACAAGUAUUCGUAAUUUGUAAUAUUACGAGAAUACUUGAAAAAGUCUAAAGCGAAGCACGCUUAUAAGGCUUUAUCUACUCCAACCAAAUACUUAUCUUUAGUAUUGGAGUAAGUUAAAAAGUAUACUUAUAUUUUUCUAUAUCCUUAGGAAAGUAUACUUUAAAUAUAUAUAUCAUCAACAUAUAUAUAUACCCACUAUCGGCCUAGUUGUGUCUAGUCCAAAACCCUUUUUAUAAACAAGGAUUAUUUGUCGUAGAUAUUGUUUUCUAAGUUUUGCAGUGAGGUGAAGUGAAGUGAGGUGAUCUUCGUUCUAAGACCCAAGUCCUAGACGAGCUAACGGGGAGUUAGUCGUCUUUGCACCGUGAGGAAGAGGAAAGACCCAAGACCUAAGACCUAAGAUCCAAGACCCGCAAAAGUUUAGAAGUUCAAAGACUACACCCGGAGUACAACGACUUUGAGGAGGUGACGGGGAGUUACGCUCCAAGAAGAGUCUUGUAAGUUUACAUUUAUAGUGAGGAGGUAACGGGAAGUUACGCUCCAAGAUAUAUAUUUGUAAAGGCUUCUCCGCCUACUGUAAAGGAGUUUCUUUAUAGUAGAGAAAAUCUCGAGUCCGGGGAGGAGCUCGGGGACUGGAGUAGGGGUGAGUGGACUCCAAUUGUUGAGUUAGCCACCGCGAACCAGGAUAAAAUCUCGUGUGUCGUAUUACUCUUACAUUGCUUCCGCACACAUAAACUGCCUAUACUCUCGAUAAAAGCUAUUCAAAAGGGGGAUAAAUUUUAUUACACCACAUCAAUUUUUAAAUUGGUGAUUAAGCUAUUCAACCCCCCCUUCUAGCUUAAAUUACACUCUAUCGGGACCUAACAAUAUAUAUAGGAGAGGGGUUCCAUGGAGUACUAGAAAAAUGGAGUCUUUGGAGUCCCUAAAGAUUGGAUCAUAUUUUAUCCUGCGGCUAGGAUUAAAUGCUGAGAAACACAUUUUGUUAAUUUUUAAAAAUUAGAAACUGCCUUUCUUUUUGUUGGGUGUGUGAAUGGGGAGUUUAGUAUGACCAUCUGGAGCGGUAGGAUAAUAAUCCCGUAUUCAAAUCUAGUUAAAUCCCGCAUCCAACUCUAGUAAAAUAGCGGUUACAAGGAUGACAUGAUUGACGCCUGCAACAACCCGUCGUGCUGAGCAUUGAAGGAAGAAAAGGAGCGUGGGACGAAAAGAUUUCAAUUAACGUUGAGUUCAGGUAAUGUUCUGCAUUAUGUAUUUGGUUGCAAAAUCCUUGGUUGUAAUGCACAACUAGAUUUGAAUCUGUACUGCACAGGAUUGUAGUGGACAUAACUUUGGCCUUAAUUAGUUCACGAAGCCUUGAUUUUAGAAAUUUUGUUCCCUUUGAUGUGCCAUGGUGAAUUUUAAUGAACAUUAAAAAAGUUGUUUGUAGGGCGAAGGAGAAAUCAUAGGCUGAUAGAUAACCAAGUUCAAGUCUUAUCUGUGGAGGAAACCUAGGGUGAUCUGCCCCUGCAUUUGAAUAUCCUCCACAAGCUCAGAGUAAUAUAUGCACACCGUAUGCUAACAUGGCUGGAGAACAAAAGAACAGUGCUGAACAAGAUGGUGUAGUUUAAAACUAAAGAGUUAUGUCAAUGCUUAUGUAAUCAAUAAUGUUACUGGUUCUUUUGGAACAAGUAGUUUAUUAAGCUGUUUGGAUUGAAUGGAAUGCUUUUAUUUUUUUUAUAAACCUCUAUAGUGGUGAUAAAUUGAAUGGCUUAAAUGGAUUUAUAUUGAUUU